AAUGGCUGCAGUAAUAUAACUGUACAAAGGUAGCAUAAUCAUUAGUUUUUUAAUUAAAAGCUUGUAUGAAAGGUUGGACGAAGUAAAAUCUGUCUCUUUUUAAUAUAAUUAGAAUUUAAUUUUUAAGUAAAAAAGCUUAAAUUUAUAUAAAAGACGAGAAGACCCUAUAGAGUUUAAUAAUUUAUUUUAAAUAAUUAAUUUAGAUUUAUUUAUUUUAUUUAUUAUGAAAUUAUUUUAUUGGGGUAAUAAAAAGAUUAAAAUAAUUCUUUUUUUAAUUUUACAUUAAUUUAUGAAUUAAAUGAUCCAUUUUUAUGAUUAAAAGAUUAAAUUACCUUAGGGAUAACAGCGUAAUUUUUUUAAAGAGUUCAUAUCGAUAAAAGAGUUUGCGACCUCGAUGUUGGAUUAAAGAUUAGUUUAGGUGUAGAAGUUUAAAUUUUUGGUCUGUUCGACCAUUAAAUCUUUACAUGAUCUGAGUUCAAACCGGUGUAAGCCAGGUUGGUUUCUAUCUUUAUAAAAUUUUUAUAUUUUAGUACGAAAGGACCAAAUAUUUGAUAUAUAAAUAUUUAAUUAUUUUGAAUAU
rnacentral:rRNA from 1 species